rnacentral:rRNA from 1 species
AUUGAACGCUGGCGGAAUGCUUUACACAUGCAAGUCGAACGGCAGCACGGACUUCGGUCUGGUGGCGAGUGGCGAACGGGUGAGUAAUGUAUCGGAACGUGCCCAGUCGUGGGGGAUAACGUAGUGAAAAUUACGCUAAUACCGCAUACGAUCUAUGGAUGAAAGCGGGGGAUCGCAAGACCUCGCGCGAUUGGAGCGGCCGAUAUCAGAUUAGGUAGUUGGUGGGGUAAAGGCCCACCAAGCCAACGAUCUGUAGCUGGUCUGAGAGGACGACAAGCCACACUGGAACUGAGAAACGGUCCAGACACCUACGGGAGGCAGCAGUGGGGAAUUUUGGACAAUGGGCGAAAGCCUGAUCCAGCCAUUCCGCGUGCAGGAUGAAGGCCCUCGGGUUGUAAACUGCUUUUGUACAGAACGAAAAGGUUUCUACUAAUACUAGGAGCUCAUGACGGUACUGUAAGAAUAAGCACCGGCUAACUACGUGCCAGCCGCCGCAGUAA